rnacentral:lncRNA from 1 species
CUGUGAUUGGCCCACCCUGGAUGGUGCCCAUCUGCAGAGACAGAUGGGGUCAGUCACACAGAAAGCUGAUGGCCUGAGAGUUGGGGCGAGGAGACCCAGGAGCCAUCAGAAAAGGGGACGGAAGCAGGGGGGUGAGCAUGGCAGCAGCCUGCAGGAUGGCUUCCCAUGGCCGCUGUGGGGUGGGAACUGGAGCAGUGUUUUCCCUCCCAUGUGUCGGGUCUCCAGACCCUGCACCCAGCGGUGCCACUCGACGCUUCCCCUGGGCCCCAAAGUGUCGCCCUGGGCAGGCCCGUCAGGGAAGGUGCUUGCCGAGGGCGAGGCCCAGGGCAGGCAACCCCAUCAGGAUUCAGGCUGUGGGGCAGAAAGGGACAGGCCACCUUCCAAGGUGGCAGCCAGGCCAAGCCAGCAGGCCCGGGCCUGGGAGGGGCCUUGGGGCCAGAACCGGAAUUGGGCCAAAGCAGCAGCAAGCCCCGCAGGGCCAUCCCGCCGUGGCUCAGCAAGGCGCCCGGCACCGGAGCUGCGGGGCUGCACCUGAAGGCGGGGGCUGAGCCAGAGGUCAGCGGGUGGACGCGGGCCAGGGGGGCUGGGAACGUGUCUGAGUGUGUGAGUGAGAGGUGGCGUGCGUGUGUGGGCCAGUGUGAGGGCACACGUGUGCACACGUGCUGUGACCGCAGUCGGGACCAGGGUAGACGCAGGUUCUCAUGUGGGGUCUGAGGGGGCCCGACUUUGGACACUGAGGAUGGGGCGGGGCUGAGAGGCUGCAGACGGGCCGCCCAGUGCUGGGCUCCUGCGGAGUGCAGGGCGGGCACUGGAGCUGCGGAGCCGGUUCAGGGCCCCAGGAGGACAGGCAGCUCAGGACGACAGUGACAGCUGCUGCUUCCACUGGCCGGGGGUGGCCGUCAGUGCCUCUCACCCCACAAGCAACAGACAGCCCACACAUCGCAGUUCAGACGCAGGGCAGCACGUGACACAGCCAAGCUGGUUUGAGAGCAGGGCCGUCCUGACUCUUAGAGGACACAGGACAUCGGCUCCGGGGCCGUCCAUUGGGAAAGGAUGUACCUGGAGCCAGGGCAGGACAAGGCCCCAUGGCGGGGCAGGGUAGGGGCCCGACUCCACGGAGCUCUGUGGCCUGGGUCUCACGUUCGAGAAGAGCCUCCAAGUUCGGACUUCGGGCAUCUCUUCCGAUGAGGCAACACCUCCAGUCGCCGUAACUCAGGUUGGGCAUUUCUGUAUAUUGGGACCUCUGCCAUGAGCGGGUGACCUGGCUUCACCCAGGCUCUGAGAGAUGCAGGCGGGCACUGCCCAGCCCCUGACCGUGGCAGUGGCCUCCUGGCCUGUCUCCCGGCACCCCUCCCCCUCCCCUAUCCACUCGGCACCCAGACCCCCCCAGGGCUCUUUCCAAAGCAGAGCAGGUCACACUGUUCUCCUGCUUAAAACCGUCCAGCGAUCGUCCCAUUAUAGAAUAAAACAAUUCUAUUUUAUUUCUAAUUUUAUAAUAUAUCUCUAUAAAUAAUUUAUGGACUAAAAAUCCAAGUGCAGCCUUUCCUGCGCACAGGGCCGGCCCAGCCUCCCUCUCCCACCCGUCCCCUCCCAUCCCUUCCCGCCUCCCUCCCCGCCCUCUGCUUCCACCCUCCUUCCCCUGCCUCAGCCCUAUUCACCCUCAGGACAGCUGCCCUGGACAAUGCCCCCCGGCCGGGCUUGGAGCCCCUGAACUUCCCCUCAUCACAGGUGAAAUGGGAAAAAAAAGGUGUGACCACCUAAUUCACCGCCAUGGCUCCCAGAGAUGGCAAGAUGCCCGAGGGCGUGUCUGUGGGGUCCCCGUGAUCCCAGGGCCUGGCACGCUGGAAGCUGUCUUGACGCAGAUGUGGUCACAGAGGUGCAGCGUGGCCCGUGACUUGCUCAGAGCCACACAGAAGUGCAGAGCGGAACAGAACAGUCGCCUGCCAUGGGGUGCCUCAUCCACACACCUUCCAACUCAGCAAGGAGGGUGGGGCUCAGAGGGGAGCCACUGUCGGUGAACUCCGGCACCCCCCGCCACCCAGCCGUCCGACCCCCAACAACUCCCCUCCUGGUUUGCUCCUCAGCUGAACACGACUGACUCCUCUUGAUUGUUGUGCUCAGAGGAGCCUCCCUCAUGACCUCCGCCCCCUUCUGUCUGGGAGAGGCUGGGGGCAGGGCAGGGUGCCGGGAGGAGGGGCCGGUUCCGAGGGCAGCCUGUGGGCAGAGUGCCAACUGCUGGAUGGAAGGUCCUGGAGCAAGGAGAGGAUGCAGAUAGCGGGGAAGGAGGGAGCCAGGGAGAAUCAGACGCGGGAAGGACGGAGGGGAAAGUCGGGGCGGGGGCCUCUCUCCUCUUUCAGCCGUGGGCUUGGAGAAGAUGACUUGGCUCCACCUUCUGGCUGGACAGAGCUGCCUUCCCAAUCUGCUGCCUCCUCCUUUGAGCACCUACUAUGCGCCAGGUGCUUUGUAUGUGCCGCCUCUUAACCCACACCACCACCCUCCACAGAAGAGAACAGUCUCCAUUUUGCAAGUGAAAAAAACUAAAGUUCAGAGAGGUUAGGAUGCAGCCUUGGUGCCCAAAGAUGGAGCUGCCUGCUUAUGACCAUGGGGAUUAAAGACACAGCUGGCGACGGUGCCAUCGGGAAGCUGGGAGGAGCCUGGUUCCUGACGGCUCCUUGAAGCCCUGGUACCAGCCUGGCAGCUGCCAACCUUGAGAGUCCUCGUGACAGGAGGAAAAUAAGGCCGUAUUGGUUAAGCUGCUGUGGUUAGCGCAUGAAGCAAGCCGAAUUGUAACCAAUGCGAUUCUAAUUAAAGACAAGGUACAAAAUGCGGUGUCGUGGGUUGACUCGAUAUGUCCUCUUGGAACCUCAGAAUGUGACCUUAUUUGGAAUGAAGGUCUUUGCAGAUGUGUUAAGGUGAGGACCUCAAGAUGAGGUCAUCCUGGAUCAGUGUGGGCCCUAAAUCCAACGACACGGGUCAUGAGAAGACACACAGGGAAGACGCCGUGUGAAGAUGAGGCAGAGGUGGGAGUGAUGAGGCCACAAGCCAAGGAGCAAACGUCAGGAGCCGCCAGUUGCUGGAAGAGGCAGGGAAGGGUCCACCCAGGAGCCUUCUGAGGGAGCACGGCCCCUCACAGCUCAUUUCAGGCUUCCGGCCUCCAGAACUGUGAGAGAAGAAAUUCCUGUUGUUUGAAGUGACCAAGUUUGUGGUCAUUUGUUACAGCAGCCCUAAGAC